rnacentral:rRNA from 1 species
UGUCUUACGUAUGUACUUGUUAAGCCUUUAAGAGAAAAGUUUACAACUUAAGGAAUUAUAACAAAGAAGUAACACAUAAUAAGUUUACCUUAUUUAGUGUGUAUCAAUCGAGUUUCUGACCUAUCAGCUUUUGAUGUUAGGGUAUUGGCCUAACAUGGCUAUGACGGGUAACGGGGAAUUAGAGUUCGAUUCCGGAGAGGGAGCCUGAGAAAUAGCUACCACAUCUAAGGAAGGCAGCAGGCGCGUAAAUUACCCAAUUCUAAAGAAGAGAGGUAGUGACAAGAAAUAACAAUACAAGGCCAUUUCAUGGUUUUGUAAUUGGAAUGAUGGGAAUUUAAAACCUUCCCAAAAUUCAAUUGGAGGGCAAGUCUGGUGCCAGCAGCCGCGGUAAUUCCAGCUCCAAUAGCGUAUAUUAAAAUUGUUGCAGUUAAAACGCUCGUAGUUGAAUUUCAAAGAAUCAAUAUUUUAAGUAAUGCUUUUGGUUUAAGAUGCUUAGACAAUACAACGUAUCUGCUCUUUGCAUUCCUUAUCCAAAAUGUGUUCUUAUUAUAAAAAGGAUUCUUUUUAAAAUCUCCUUUACUUUCUUGUACUGGAGAUUUUGUUACUUUGAGUAAAUUAGAGUGUUCAAAGCAAACAGUUAAAGCAUUUUACUGCGUUUGAAUACUACAGCAUGGAAUAACAAAAUUGAACAAGUCAAAAUUCUGUUCCUUUUUCUUAUUUUGGCU